GCGAGAGUAGUUCAGUUGGCUAGAACGACACAUUGCCAAUGUGUAGGUCGCGGGUUCGAACCCCGUCUCUCGCUCCA
rnacentral:tRNA from 5 species